UCCAGUGCUGCAGUCGCUAUGACCAGAAAUAAAAGAGUUCUUUUUGUUUGUUCCUUUCGUGGCCUUGACGACGUUCUCGGGAGAAGCAGCUCAAUAGUCAAUAUCAGAUGGUUCUAGAAGAGUUGCUUCAUAAGUACCACUGCUGUGAUCUUUUCUGUAGGUUCCCAUGACAAUGCUAUAGGGGCUUUGUUUGUUCAUGGGAACUUGAGGAACACAGGGAAUUCUUGUUCAAUAAUGAACGCAAUGCGGCUUGGAAAAGACUCUUGGUAGACACGAACAAAAAAGUAUAGCCAGAGCAGCCUUCAGAAAUCAUUCCUGCAGUUUUUGGAAGCGUUUCUCAAGGUCUGAAUGGAGGCUGUGAAGUUACUAACAAAAUGAACAGGCUCUGCUUUUCAUAAUUGGCUUCAUGACUGUGGGUUUUGGCAACAACUCUAGAGGAACACAGGGCCCGGAAGAGGGGCACAAUGAAGCCACUCACUGUAAUAACUUAAGCAACAACAAUGCACCUUUUCAGAUUAAUGCCAAGAAAAUAUAUGCAGAAGAGACACCCAUGUCAUUGAACAAGAGGUUCUAAUAUUACAUAACAGGGUAGUGGUAUGUAGCUGUAGUGGUAUGUGCUCUCUCUCAAUGCUGAGCUGCAGCUCCCAGUCAGCCACUGGAUCAUGAGGGUAAAAUACGGAUACUUGACAUCUUCUUAAAGAACAUCAUGCCUGCUAAGCCAUCCAGUUUGGAUGCCCCAGUGCCUUCCACCAGCCAUUCUCAAGCCUCAUUAGAAGAGAGAGAUUGAUGACCCUGUAGCUGCAGCAUCCCAUCAUCCUGCAUUUUAGUUCAAUGCUUCAAACGUUCUUCAGGCCCAGUGUGCUUUCAGCUGUGUAUGUUAAUGGUGCAUCUCCUGCUGUUCCCAAUCUACUCAUCCUAGGAACCAACUCAGGUCAGGAGAAGCAAGGAAAGCCUUACAACCUGUUACUGACCGGAGGGGAUGAAGGAGACAGGGAAACUACAACACAUGGAAUGUGGUAUCCUGAAUGGGACCCUGGAACCAAAGAAUGACACUGGGGAAGAACUGCUGAAAUUCAAGUAAAAUGUGGAGUCUCGUUAGUGGCAAUGUACCAAGGCUACAAACCUGUACAGCAUGUGAUUCUACUGAAUAUACGGGCAAUUGUUAACACAAUGAUGUGAUGACUGAUUUCCAGCAGCUGAAGGGAAGUCUUUUGGAUUAACUUUUGUGAUUGAUUUGCUCUGGGUUCAGUCAGCCUGCAAGG
rnacentral:lncRNA from 1 species